rnacentral:misc_RNA from 1 species
GUAGUGAGAUAGGGGGAGUUGGGGUAGGCAUUUCUAGACACACAGGGGGUUCAAUUCCACAUGCUACUCACGCAGAUAGAAUGAUAAUGAUUUCAUAUUUAUUGGUUUUAUUAGUGUCUGUCUUCAUAUUAGUAGCGAAUAAUCAAACAUUAUUAUAAACAUCACUAAAAUUAUUAUACCUUUUUAGGAAGCCCAACUUGGCCGAAGA